UUGUGUUAAGGUGUCGGUGGUUUUGUUCACUUCCAAAGUUUCAGCGCUGAAUUCCUUCAUGCGCAUGCGUAGACAAUCGAGGCGCGUAUCGUGAUGGUCGAGUUGGUAUGCGAAUUCCUUGUGUCCCGGCCUACCAUUUGGGCGUACUCCUGUGUCAGACUGUUAGUACCGUAGUAGUACACUGUUAUUAGGGUACUGCUAGUACCACUCGAGUUACCAAUACUCUAUUCUUAUUCGCUUCACUGCCCGUCGGAAGAGUCCCUCCAGUAUAACAUUUGCGGGUAUCGGCGCACGGAGUGCAAAGAAGACCCUUUUGUGCUCGCACUCGUCGAAGACUGGCAAGCCUGCGUCGUUCAAAGGGAAGCAUGUAUGGUUACCGCGAGAUUGAAAACGUGCCAUGACGUUACUGAGAUUAAGCUGUUUGACGAGUGGCCCAGUUGGCGGAUAGGUGGCAUUGCCAGGACGCACACAGCAUGCCGACACGCCGAUCGGGCUUUCACCGAAGCAAAGGUGCUGGGAUCCUGGCCUCCCAGCUCAUCAAGUCCAGAAAGCCACGCGAGCCUUUCUACUGUUCCCGAAGGCGACAGACGAGAGCGACAUGGCGAGAGCGGCGGACUCGAGUCAACUCUUUUGUAAUCCGGUGGCAGCGAAUGGCGACCAUCUUAGCCGUACCAACUGAGGCAUACUACGACGCGUGGGUGGUGCGCGGAUGACGUCAAAGAGCAGCCAAUAUACGUCAGUUCAAGGUCAGCAGUUCAUCGCUUGUGUUCAUUCUUGUCCCGUCCUUGACGCUGUUCUGACUUUCCAUCGCCUUUCCUAUUUUGGGCCUGCUGGAUGAACUCAUAGGCACACACCGCCCUUAUCAC